AUACGGAGGAUGCAAGCGUUAUCCGGAUUUAUUGGGUUUAAAGGGUGCGUAGGCGGUUUGCUAAGCGGGAGGUGAAAUGCCGGCGCUCAACGUCGGAAGUGCCUCCCGAACUGGUGGACUGGAAUUACUCUGCCGUGGGAGGAAUGUGUAGUGUAGCGGUGAAAUGCUUAGAGAUUACACAGAACCCCGAUUGCGAAGGCAUCUCACGAAGGGUUGAUUGACGCUGAGGCACGAAAGCGUGGGGAUCAAACAGGAUUAGAUACCCUGGUAGUCCACGCAGUAAACGAUGAUGGCUAACCGCUGGUUUAUUCGGAUCAGUGGCCAAGCGAAAGCGAUAAGCCAUCCACCUGGGGAGUACGACCGCAAGGUUGAAACUCAAAGGAAUUGACGGGG
rnacentral:rRNA from 1 species